rnacentral:rRNA from 1 species
UGGGGAAUUUUGGACAAUGGGCGCAAGCCUGAUCCAGCCAUGCCGCGUGCAGGAUGAAGGCCUUCGGGUUGUAAACUGCUUUUGUACGGAACGAAAAGGUUUGGCCUAAUAAGCUGAGCUCAUGACGGUACCGUAAGAAUAAGCACCGGCUAACUACGUGCCAGCAGCCGCGGUAAUACGUAGGGUGCGAGCGUUAAUCGGAAUUACUGGGCGUAAAGCGUGCGCAGGCGGUUAUGUAAGGCAGAUGUGAAAUCCCCGGGCUCAACCUGGGAACUGCAUUAGUGACUACAUAGCUGGAGUACGGCAGAGGGGGAUGGAAUUCCGCGUGUAGCAGUGAAAUGCGUAGAUAUGCGGAGGAACACCGAUGGCGAAGGCAAUCCCCUGGGCCUGCACUGACGCUCAUGCACGAAAGCGUGGGGAGCAAACA